CCUCUUGCGGACUCAAUAAUAUGCUGUUGAUAUCAAUUCCAGUUGUUCUCCUUCAUGAGGAUCUCCUAGUGCAUCCUGUUCUUCACCAAACAGGAAUUUACAUGUUUGGCGAUACUAUUCAUCCUUCAUGUGUUUCGUUAGCCUUAUCAAGGCACCUGUUUGUACUGAUUGCUGGGUAUCAAGAUCUAUGUCAAUAUUUUCUUCUGAUUAUGCUGGAAUAACCGGUGUUAGCGUUAGAGUGAAAAAUGAUCUCAAUGUCCAAGACUCUUCAUCCUUCAUGUUUCUAUCAAUAAUGUGUCACAACGGAGGGAGGAGGAUUUCCAAUUCCUUACCCAAAAACCUGGAGGCUGAAGCGCUUGGCCGGGCUUGGCACAGAUCAACAAUUCUUCUGAUUAUACAGGAAAAGAAGUUGCCACAGAACAUUUACAAACAUGAUGGCUGGGCGCUUGGCUGGGCUGGCCGCUCGGAGGCGACGGUCGCUGGCCACGACAUGGGCACUGGUGCCGCUGCGCCGUGCUGGGCGCCUAGGAGCGAGGUUAUGGUCACGUGGGGCAUGCCGAUCAACGGCGAGUGCUCGCUGGCCGCAUGGGGCUGGGCACCUAGGCUCCGAGCCUCCGAUGGCGGCGCGGCGCUCCGGGGAAGGGGCACAGGGGUGCGACGACACUCCAGGGAAGGAGCGCGGGAGUGUGAGGGUGCUCCGGGGCGGGGGCUCAGGGGCUUGGCAGUGUCGAGCGGCGCUCCAGCUGGGGCGUGACGGCGGCGGCGGGGUGGGUAGAGUGGGCACGAGAGAUUGAGAAAGAACAGUACUGAGUAG
rnacentral:lncRNA from 1 species